rnacentral:tRNA from 1 species
GGAGAGAUGCCAGAGCGGUCGAUUGGGGCGGUCUCGAAAACCGUUGCGCGACGAACUCGCGCCGGGGGUUCGAAUCCCCCUCUCUCCGCCA